rnacentral:rRNA from 1 species
GGAGGAUCCGAGCGUUAUCCGGAUUUAUUGGGUUUAAAGGGAGCGUAGAUGGAUGUUUAAGUCAGUUGUGAAAGUUUGCGGCUCAACCGUAAAAUUGCAGUUGAUACUGGAUAUCUUGAGUGCAGUUGAGGCAGGCGGAAUUCGUGGUGUAGCGGUGAAAUGCUUAGAUAUCACGAAGAACUCAGAUCGCGAAGGCAGCCGCCCGGUGGCCGACUGACGCUGAGGCUCGAAGGUGCGGGUAUCAAACAGGAUUAGAUACCCUGGUAGUCCGCACGGUAAACGUUGGAUACUCGCGGUUGGUUAUUAAUUAGUCAGCCGCCNAGCGAAAGUGUUAAGUAUCCCACCUGGGGAGU